ensembl:lncRNA
CACCAGCAGGAGACAGCAAUGAAAUUUCACAGUAUCUUGUUCUUCUGACAGUCAGUGUUAAAAUAAAACAGGUUAUAGGACCCCCCCCCCCCCCCCCAAAAAAAAAGAAAAAAAAAAGAAAAAAAAAGUUAAAAAUACUCAAAUCCAUGUGGCUGUUGUGCAUGAAAAGCAGUUUAGAUAUGACUGUAGCCUUGAACUGAAUUGAUUUUAGGGCAGGUUAAUGGCAUGACAAAUGCAUUUAGCUUUGGUGAUAGGCUACUACUUCAAUAGCCGAUGAAAUCACUGAAAUGCCAUUGGGAACAUUUAGGCUAGUAGUGAAUGUGUUUCAUGUUCAUACCGUAGCUUGUAGAUUAAAAAAACAAAACAAAACUAAACAAAACUAAAACCAAAACCAAACCUCAGCUUUUUUCCCUAAUUAUAUUCUUUGGCAUGCUUUAAGAUAAAUCAAUUAAACAUAUUUGAGAGCCAAGCAGGAAUGUUGAGAAAAGAGCUUAGUAGAUUAAGUAGCACACCUUACCCUUUCUUUCAUUAGGCCAGAGAUGCAAUUAAUGAUUGCUUUACUCACCUGUAAAACCCAUCCUGUAUCACUUCUGAUAAAGAAACCAUUUAAGCCCUUGGCACUGCCUUCUAUCACAUUUUCCCUCACUGUUCAAGACCAGUAUUCCAGCACUCAGUGUACCAGUAGGUAAUCUCAACUAGUGUUUCUCAGGUCAUAUAACUGGAUAUUGGCAAGGGUUUUGUAAGGUUGUAGUGAAGAAACAAUAGCAUUUAGAGGUACAAAGUACACCAAAGUAAGGGAAUGCUCUCUCAUUAUGCUUUUUUUAUUUUAUUUUAUUUUUAUUUUUAUUCCCACCAUAUACAGUGUAUACAUGUGCUGAGAAUGGACAAAUUCACUGUGUUGGUAGUAGCAGUCCACAUUGUUCUAGGACAUAAUGGCCAAGCUUCGGAUUAUGUGAUCAGAAAUAUAAACAUAUCCAGACUCACUGAUAUGUGUAUGCAUUUAUAUAUAUAGCAUUGUAGAUGGUAUUUCUUAUGUGAGAAUGAUAAAAAAAUAAAGUGGAAAUUCUACUUUUUUACUGUCUUACAGUCUUACUUUCAGUAACAUUACUAUCCAGUAGUAACAGAAGUAUCCGAGAGUAUUCCGUAGCAGUAUCUAAGAAUUAAUAAAUUCAUUAGUGUUACAAGAAAAGCAGUUGAUGCUCUAAUCCUUUCCACUCUGCAUUUUUCAGAUCAACAUAAACUUGCGAUGAAAAGUAAAAAAAAAAAAUGGCAUUACACAUUCUAAUUUAGCUUUUCUUUCUGAAAAAGUCCAAACAAAUGAAGCAAAAGACAUUUUGAGCCUAUUUUAAUGUACAGAAAAACUGGAAAACAGUGAUUUUAGCAUGCUUAUGUUUUAGAAAACAGAAAUAAAAUAAAAAGAAAGCCAACAUUUUAACUGGAGGAAGACAUGAUGGGGGAAUUUUUGAAUUCUCAGAAUUUCCAAAGGUGUUUCAAAAUAGAAAUAGACACCAAAGCAUUCCUUUAAAAUUUGAAGAAUUUAGUGUAUGUUGCCUAAUGCCUAAAUUAAAACGCUUUGUCACACCUGAAAUAGUUUGCUUCUAUCUCCCUUCUAUUUAACAGAAUAUAGGAAAUUCUGUGAUAAUUUCUUAGAGUGGAUUAACUAAAUUUGUGCACAAAAGAACAAUAAUAAUAAUCUCCCCAGGAAUGUGCAUUCCUUGGCUUAGAAACCAUAUUGCACAUAUUCUUUCUUAAAGAUUUCCACCUCUCAAGUAAUUAUUCAUUGCCAGUUGUGACGGUGGCUGUAAGUGAUGACUUUGGCUGGUCUCUAGGCACUAUUCACAGUCUUUUCUAAUUGGUACUCUUUCCCUUUCCACUCAGAUGUAGCACUAGUAACAUUUCUUCUAAAAGAAGACAACUUGACACUGCAGAUCUGGUGAGAGGCCUGCUGCACAGACCUUCUGUGCAUUUGUUCUCACUUGUCAGAAUGAUUCUUACCAUCCGUGUUCAAAGUCUCAGCCAUCUACAUGGCCUGCCGUGACACAGGGUUUAUAAAGUGUUUUUCAACUCUCUGGAGAAUAAAUCAACAAUUGCCUCUUGUGUAGUAUUUCCAUAGAAAAUUAGAAGGUGGAAAACAAGAUGAGCUCUCAGCACAAUUCAAGCUGAAGCCUGUUUCUCAUAUCCAAAAAGCAUCUUGGUUGCAUUUUGUUGCAAUAAUAAAACAGCUGCUACU